rnacentral:misc_RNA from 1 species
GAUGAAGAACGUAGCGAAAUGCGAUAAGUAAUGCGAAUUGCAGAAUUCCGUGAGUCAUCGAAUCUUUGAACGCACAUUGCGCCCUUUGGUAUUCCGAAGGGCAUGCCUGUUCGAGCGUCAUUAUCAACCCUCAAGCUUGGCUUGCUGUUGGGUUCUGUUGGGCAUAGAUCUCAACAAACCUCAAAGAUAAUGUCAGAGCCCGUGUGGACCUGGAUGCAGCGAGCUUCUUAGCACGCAUCACAGCGAUCCUCCGGCUCGGUCUCACACCUUUUUAUUCACUGGUUGACCUCGGAUCAGGUAGGGAUACCCGCUGAACUUAAGCAUAUCAAUAAGCGGAGGA